rnacentral:rRNA from 1 species
AGAGUUUGAUCCUGGCUCAGGACGAACGCUGGCGGCACGCUUAACACAUGCAAGUCGAACGAGAGAAGAGGAGCUUGCUUUUCUGAUCUAGUGGCGGACGGGUGAGUAACACGUGAGCAAUCUGCCUUUCAGAGGGGGAUACCGAUUGGAAACGAUCGUUAAUACCGCAUAACAUAAUUGAACCGCAUGAUUUGAUUAUCAAAGAUUUAUCGCUGAAAGAUGAGCUCGCGUCUGAUUAGCUAGUUGGUAAGGUAACGGCUUACCAAGGCGACGAUCAGUAGCCGGACUGAGAGGUUGAUCGGCCACAUUGGGACUGAGACACGGCCCAGACUCCUACGGGAGGCAGCAGUGGGGAAUAUUGCACAAUGGAGGAAACUCUGAUGCAGCGAUGCCGCGUGAGGGAAGAAGGUUUUAGGAUUGUAAACCUCUGUCUUCAGGGACGAAAAAAGACGGUACCUGAGGAGGAAGCUCCGGCUAACUACGUGCCAGCAGCCGCGGUAAUACGUAGGGAGCGAGCGUUGUCCGGAAUUACUGGGUGUAAAGGGAGCGUAGGCGGGAUCGCAAGUCAGAUGUGAAAACUAUGGGCUUAACCCAUAAACUGCAUUUGAAACUGUGGUUCUUGAGUGAAGUAGAGGUAAGCGGAAUUCCUAGUGUAGCGGUGAAAUGCGUAGAUAUUAGGAGGAACAUUAGUGGCGAAGGCGGCUUACUGGGCUUUAACUGACGCUGAGGCUCGAAAGCGUGGGGAGCAAACAGGAUUAGAUACCCUGGUAGUCCACGCCGUAAACGAUGAUUACUAGGUGUGGGGGGACUGACCCCUUCCGUGCCGCAGCAAACGCAAUAAGUAAUCCACCUGGGGAGUACGACCGCAAGGUUGAAACUCAAAGGAAUUGACGGGGGCCCGCACAAGCAGUGGAGUAUGUGGAUUAAUUCGAAGCAACGCGAAGAACCUUACCAGGUCUUGACAUCGUAUGCAUAGCUCAGAGAUGAGUGAAAUCUCUUCGGAGACAUAUAGACAGGUGGUGCAUGGUUGUCGUCAGCUCGUGUCGUGAGAUGUUGGGUUAAGUCCCGCAACGAGCGCAACCCUUACUGUUAGUUGCUACGCAAGAGCACUCUAGCAGGACUGCCGUUGACAAAACGGAGGAAGGUGGGGAUGACGUCAAAUCAUCAUGCCCCUUAUGACCUGGGCCUCACACGUACUACAAUGGCUGUCAACAGAGGGAAGCAAAGCCGCGAGGUGGAGCGAACCCCUAAAAGCAGUCUUAGUUCGGAUUGUAGGCUGCAACCCGCCUACAUGAAGUCGGAAUUGCUAGUAAUCGCAGAUCAGCAUGCUGCGGUGAAUACGUUCCCGGGCCUUGUACACACCGCCCGUCACGCCAUGGGAGUCGGUAACACCCGAAGCCUGUAGUCUAACCGCAAGGAGGACGCAGUCGAAGGUGGGAUUGAUGACUGGGGUGAAGUCGUAACAAGGUA